AUUGAACGCUGGCGGCAGGCCUAACGCAUGCAAGUCGAGCGGAUGAAGGGAGCUUGCUCCUGGAUUCAGCGGCGGACGGGUGAGUAAUGCCUAGGAAUCUGCCUGGUAGUGGGGGAUAACGUCCGGAAACGGGCGCUAAUACCGCAUACGUCCUGAGGGAGAAAGUGGGGGAUCUUCGGACCUCACGCUAUCAGAUGAGCCUAGGUCGGAUUAGCUAGUUGGUGGGGUAAAGGCCUACCAAGGCGACGAUCCGUAACUGGUCUGAGAGGAUGAUCAGUCACACUGGAACUGAGACACGGUCCAGACUCCUACGGGAGGCAGCAGUGGGGAAUAUUGGACAAUGGGCGAAAGCCUGAUCCAGCCAUGCCGCGUGUGUGAAGAAGGUCUUCGGAUUGUAAAGCACUUUAAGUUGGGAGGAAGGGCAGUAAGUUAAUACCUUGCUGUUUUGACGUUACCAACAAAAUAAGCACCGGCUAACUUCGUG
rnacentral:rRNA from 1 species